rnacentral:rRNA from 1 species
GACGAACCGUGCGAACGUUGUUCGGAAUCACUGGGCUUAAAGGGCGCGUAGGCGGCUUCGCAAGUCAGGGGUGAAAUCUUUCGGCUCAACCGGAAAAGUGCCUCUGAUACUGCGGAGCUCGAGGGAGGUAGGGGCAGACGGAACUUCCGGUGGAGCGGUGAAAUGCGUUGAUAUCGGAAGGAACGCCGGUGGCGAAAGCGGUCUGCUGGCCCUCUACUGACGCUGAGGCGCGAAAGCCAGGGGAGCAAAGCGGG